AAAGAAAACAGAGACAUCGGAGAAGGGAGAAUCUUACCCAUAUGCUCGGUAAAUUGUAAGGUUCUGCAGCGUUUGUUGGGUUAGUUGCAAACGUGAGGAUGGGGGGACGAGUGUGGUGAUUUUCAGCCAUUGAAACUCUGAACUUAAGCUGAUUUAAGCGGUUGUCGCAAAGGAAACAGAGGUUGAAGACGAGCGCGAGAGGGACACGCGGGGCGCGUGGGAGUCCGAGAGUGGGAGCGCGACUGUGCGCAGAUCAAUCGCGUGAGAAAAACUCGUCGAGCGUGUGCAGGCGCGUGAGGGCGCGUGCGUCGUCGUUUUGGCUCCCGGUUUGUCCCCUUCGACUCCUUUCGACCUGUCCUAUUAAAAUUGGCCUAUAAUUAUCUUGAAAUUGGUGAAAUAUAGGUCUAAUAGAAAGAAAUUGUGUUGGAAUACCUUGUUAAACGUACAACCAAGAAAAGAGGAGUUCGAAACCAAGUAAGUAGCGUAUCGAUCUUUGAACUAGUUCUUAAGUUGUGUUACAACCUGUGAGUAUGUUGUUUACUUGAUUAAGAGCUUAGCAUGUUAAUGUGCUGUGAUGAUAUUGUUUGUCUAGCUGUAUAUUGUGACUGCUUGCCUGUGAUGUAAGCGUGUUAUAAAUGAUUACUAGAAUGUUCUAUGUGUUGAACAUGAUAAAUGCAUGAAAGCAUGCAGUAAAUGUGAGUAUGUUAAGCAUGUUAAUGGAAAGGUUAUGACUCUAGAAUAUGCUUAUUGGUUAUUGAGUCAUGGCUUAUUUAUAUGAGUAUGAUAGUCUACUAAUCCCCGCGGAGUUCCUGACCAAUGCGUUGUGUGCUAAGUCAGGGAGCAUGAGUACUCCUGAUCGUUGGUAUAUGAGAUAAGCAGGCCGCCAGAGAAAUUAGUAGACGGGUCGUAUUUGACCGAGAGCGAGUCUUACAUACGAGUCCGAAAAUUCUAGAUAAGCAUAUCAAGAGAGAGUGAGUAACCUAAGCUAGAGGUAGCUAAGAUACCUCAUUAAUGAACAGAUGACCCUAGUAAGAGAAACUAGGAGUCAAUGACGAAUAAAACUUAAAAACACCUGGAAAGAUUAGUUAUGAACUCAUGAA